GCUGACAACAUGAGGCACGUGCUAAUAAGCCAAUAGUAAGUGCUUUAUGUUUUGGCAG
rnacentral:pre_miRNA from 1 species